GAGCGGCGAACGGGUGAGUAACACGUGGGUAACCUGCCCUGUACUCUGGGAUAAGCCUGGGAAACUAGGUCUAAUACCGGAUACGAGCCUUCCCCGCAUGGGGUGGGUUGGAAAGUUCCGGCGGUACAGGAUGGACCCGCGGCCUAUCAGCUUGUUGGUGGGGUAAUGGCCUACCAAGGCGACGACGGGUAGCCGGCCUGAGAGGGUGACCGGCCACACUGGGACUGAGACACGGCCCAGACUCCUACGGGAGGCAGCAGUGGGGAAUAUUGCACAAUGGGCGAAAGCCUGAUGCAGCGACGCCGCGUGAGGGACGACGGCCUUCGGGUUGUAAACCUCUUUCAGCAGGGACGAAGCGCAAGUGACGGUACCUGCAGAAGAAGCACCGGCUAACUACGUGCCAGCAGCCGCGGUAAUACGUAGGGUGCGAGCGUUGUCCGGAAUUAUUGGGCGUAAAGAGCUCGUAGGCGGUUUGUCGCGUCGGCCGUGAAAACUUGGGGCUUAACCCCGAGCCUGCGGUCGAUACGGGCAGACUUGAGUUCGGCAGGGGAGACUGGAAUUCCU
rnacentral:rRNA from 1 species